GACGAACGCUGGCGGCGUGCUUAACACAUGCAAGUCGAACGCUGAAGCUCAGCUUGCUGGGUGGAUGAGUGGCGAACGGGUGAGUAACACGUGAGUAACCUGCCCUCUUCUUUGGGAUAACGCCCGGAAACGGGUGCUAAUACUGGAUAUUCACUGAUUCUCGCAUGGGGGUUGGUGGAAAGGUUUUUUCUGGUGGGGGAUGGGCUCGCGGCCUAUCAGCUUGUUGGUGGGGUGAUGGCCUACCAAGGCUUUGACGGGUAGCCGGCCGGAGAGGGUGACCGGUCACAUUGGGACUGAGAUACGGCCCAGACUCCUACGGGAGGCAGCAGUGGGGAAUAUUGCACAAUGGGCGAAAGCCUGAUGCAGCGACGCCGCGUGAGGGAUGGAGGCCUUCGGGUUGUAAACCUCUUUCGCUCAUGGUCAAGCCGCAGCUUUGGGUUGUGGUGAGGGUAGUGGGUAAAGAAGCGCCGGCUAACUACGUG
rnacentral:rRNA from 1 species